rnacentral:rRNA from 1 species
GACGAACGCUGGCGGCGUGCUUAACACAUGCAAGUCGAACGAUGAAGCUAGAGCUUGCUCUGGUGAAUUAGUGGCGAACGGGUGAGUAACACGUGAGUAACCUGCCCCGAACUCUGGGAUAACUGCUGGAAACGGUAGCUAAUACUGGAUACGACCUACGGAGGCAUCUUCUGUAGGUGGAAAGAAUUUCGGUUCGGGAUGGACUCGCGGCCUAUCAGCUUGUUGGUGAGGUAAUGGCUCACCAAGGCGACGACGGGUAGCCGGCCUGAGAGGGUGACCGGCCACACUGGGACUGAGACACGGCCCAGACUCCUACGGGAGGCAGCAGUGGGGAAUAUUGCACAACGGGCGCAAGCCUGAUGCAGCAACGCCGCGUGAGGGAUGACGGCCUUCGGGUUGUAAACCUCUUUUAGUAGGGAAGAAGCGAAAGUGACGGUACCUGCAGAAAAAGCACCGGCUAACUACGUGCCAGCCGCCGCAGUAA